CCAACAGGGAUUGCCUCAGUAACGGCGAGUGAAGCGGCAAGAGCUCAGAUUUGAAAUCCGGCAUGCUAUGUGUGCCCGAGUUGUAAUCUGGAGAGAGGUCUUCGGCUUAGGCAUCGGUCAAGAUUCCUUGGAAUAGGAUGACACAGAGGGUGAGAAUCCCGUACCUGGCUGACCGCCAACGCCAUGUGAAGCUUCUUCGACGAGUCGAGUUGUUUGGGAAUGCAGCUCUAAAUGGGUGGUAAAUUCCAUCUAAAGCUAAAUAUCUGCGAGAGACCGAUAGCGCACAAGUAGAGUGAUCGAAAGAUGAAAAGCACCUUUGAAAAGAGAGNCAAAAAGUACGUGAAAUUGUUGAAAGG
rnacentral:rRNA from 1 species